ensembl:lncRNA
UUGUACCUAUAAUCCAGGACCAUCUCAAAGAUGUCCAUGAGCUGAAUGAGUCCCAGGAUUCUCUUGAGAGUGAGUUGAAGGGCCUGCAAGAACAGCUGUCCCAGUCCAUGACUACAAUUCAGGACCUUCUCAAAGAUAUCCUUGAAAUGAAAGAGUACCAAAAUGAGUUGAAGAACCUGCAGGAGCAAAUUUCACAGGACCAUCUCAAAUAUAUCCUUGAGCUGAAGGAGUCCCAGGAAGCCCUUCAGAGUGAGCUGAAGGUCAUGCAAGAGCAGCUGUCCCAGUUCAUAGCUCAGACCCAGGACCAGAACAAUGAAAUCAUUGAACUAAAGGAGUACCGGGACGCCCUUCAGAAUGAGAUAAAGGGGCUGAAGGAGAAGUUGUCCCAGCUGGACAAGCAUAGCUCGGUGCUGUCACGAAGCCUAUUGGGGAAAGUGCCCGGGCAGGCAGUCAGCCGGAUGCAGCAGGUGGCCGUCUGUCCUCCAUCCUCUGUGGACAUCAAUACGACACUUAGCCAGCAGUACCAGCACCACAAGGAGCUCCAGGGGCUGGUCAGCAGCCCACUGACAAUGGAGGGAAAUGGCAGGACAGUGGAUGGCUCAGAAAUGCAGAGCCUGCCAGGGGAGGACGAUUUUGAGCUGGAGCCAGGGCAGAGACUCGGCUACAUGUGGGAGGAGUCCAUGUUCCCCCCUUCCCCUGGGGACAUCAGCAGGAGGGUUAGCCAGGAGUUCCAGCACCAUGAUCAGCUCCGGGAUCUGAUGAUGGAAGGUGAUGGCAGGACAGUGGAGGGCUCAGAAAUGCAGAGCCUGUCAGGGGAGGUUGAUCUGGAGCUAGAGCCAGGACAGAGGGUCAGCUGGAUGCAACAAGAGGGCAUCGCCCCACCUUUUUCUGUGGACAUGAGAAGCAGAGUUAGCCAUCAGUUCCAGCGCCACGAGCAGGUCCACGGUGUGGUCAGUGGCUUUGUGAUGAAAGAUGGCAGUGGCUCACAGAUGCAGGCCCAGGAACUGCUUAACAAGUACCCUACACAAACAAGCAUUUUGGAGCUCCAGAAACAAUGUGAGAAGCUUGGUGGCACCACUGUCCAGCUUAUGGAGGGCCAAAGCCAGCAGCAGAAGCAAAUUGAUAUGAACCGCAAAGAGUCAGAAUUGAUGAAGAAAAAGCUGCAACAUUGCUGGGAGGUCAUCUGUAAGGUGGUGCAGGCUCAGGCCGACUCAGAGGUGGAAAAUGCCGCUGUCAUCAGGAAGCAGAUCCCAACUCAUUAUCACUGCUUAUCUUGCAACCGUCGCCUUGAUUCGAUGGUCCCUGCACCGAAACCGACUUUGUCCGGAGCAACCAGUCUGCCGUCACAAAAGCCCUUCCCUCUGAGGAAGGUGGAAGAGAUCCAACCGCAUUCCCAGAGACAGGCAGAGGGUGUGCAGAGCCAGGUAAAUGGCCAAGAUCAGCCUGUGGAGCAGGGCUACAGAAAGCAGAUGCAAUCCCGCUUCCCACCCAUCCAAGGCACUACAUAUGGGACCGGAAUGACUGUUUUCCAGCAUGAACAAACUCAAGAGAUUUCAGUGUCCCAGAGCUAUGGUGGCAGCCAGGCUUUGACCUACUUAAAACAGCGCUAUACACCCUUGCAGCGAGUCUCAGGCCUGGAUAAGGAGAAGGUGGACAUCCUAGGAAAUGAUGGGCACCUCUACAAAGGCUGUGCUAGCACCAGAGGCAUGGAGCACAGGUCUCCCUUCAUCUCCAAAGAGGCGCUUAGCCAAUAUGCAGGACUGGAGAUAAAGGACCUCACUGGAAACUGGAUCCCCAAAAAUAUGUCUCUGAUGAGUUCCAUGACGGUGGUGCAUGAGCUGUAACCCAGCAUUUCAUCAUGGACUGUCACCAUUUAAUUCUCUGAUGACCCUGGAAGCACUUUUGCAUUACAAGUUGCCUUGGACAACAUGGUAAGAUACUUGUGUAAAACAUGGUACAAUCCAUAAAUUCUAAAACUGGCCCGUGUUUUACCUUGCUAAACAAAGAUCUCUUUGGCCACAGCUGUACAUACGUGGGCCAUGAGUCCCUGAAGAUCUUGGUGUGUGAGCAAGUUUGCACAGUUGUUGUCUGAAGGAACUGCACACAGGGUGAUCGGUUGCAAUAUCCUGAUAAACUGCUAAACAGCUGAUGAUGUAGAUUUUCAUAGCCAGCCCAGCUUUUUUCCCAAAUGAUUAUUUCCAGCGGUCUAACGUGCCAUGUUACAAAGCAAACAUCACCUCAGAGUGGUUCUUCAAACAUGACGGCACCUUAUUUUGACGGGCACUGUUUCUAUCUGGGGGGUGUGGUGGCACAGUGGGUUGGACCGGGUCCUGCUCUCCAGUGGG